CAUUGAUGCUCCAUAUCUUCUUGUCCUUUUGGUGACUCUGGAAGUCACAAGAUAAAAACGGGAGCACUACAAAAUGAAACGGCUCUCCCCUGAGCGCAUUAAACAAAACUUGAGAAUCCCCUUCUGACAGCGCUGCACUAGAAGACUGCAGACUAGUGGAAGGAGAGGGCAGGAAGACGGCCAGCAUGGACUCAGAUCCUGCCUCCGUUGUUUCUGAGAUCUGCAGGGUUGACAAGUGACUAAACUAUCAACCUCAUGAGGAAGCCACCAGGAUACGGCAGAUGAGAUGAUGCACUGCUGUUGUGGGAUAUUAUUAAUAUGUUGGUUUAAUGAUGCAAAGAUGGACUGCAUCAUUCUUUGUGUUGCAUUCAUCUGUUUAACUCUGAAGCUGUGUUACUUUGUCUGCCUAAAACACCUGAUUGGUCUAAUAAAGAGCUGGAUGGCCAGCGAGGCAGGAGAAAGGAUAGGCAAGGCUGGCAGGCAGAGAGAAUAAAUAGGAGAAAUAUGGGAAGAGAUCUAGGAACAACAAAAAAAGGAAGAGGACAUUAAGGGUCAGUCACCCAGAUAUACAGCAAGCCACAGAGAAAGAAGUAAAUAAAGGCAUAAAGAAAUAGAGAAAGGUAAAAGCCCAGAGGCAAGAUAGAUGGGGUAAUUUAAGAUAAGAAAAGCUGGCAGGAAAUAAGCCAAGCUAAGCAGCAACAUCCAUGUGGUUUAUUUGGGAGCUGGGCCCCCAAAGAACUAAGAGUAAAACAACCGGCUACACACUGCUUGCCAUGUAGGAGCAACCAUCUAAUGCCACCUUGACCAUCUCUCCGUAGGACAGGACGAGGUCACGCACAGCACCCAGCACACGUGCUUACACACAUAUUAAAGGAAGUCCACACGGGAAUAAGCAGUUAUUAGAAUAUUUUAAAACUUCAUAAUACCUUGGAAUUGUAGACAUGGGUCAGAGGUUACAAUUGUGCGCUUGCUGCUCUUCCAGAGGACUCCGGUUCAGGUCCCAGCCCCACAUGGGAGAGGGGCUCACAACUACCUGUGACUCUAGCUCCAGGGGAUCUGACACCUACUUCUGGCCUCUGUGGGCACCAGGGAAAACCAGAGCAAAAGCACAUGUGCACGUGCUCACACACACAUACAAAAUAAAAAAUAAAUCUUCUUUUUAAAAUGCUUAAUAAAUCAGGUGGUAGUGGUGCAUACCUUUAAUCCCAGCACUCUGGAGGCAGAGGCAGGGGGAUCUCUGUGAGUUCCAGGCCAGUCUGGUCUACAAAGCUAGUUCCAGAACAGCAAGAGCUCCAUGGGAAAAUUGUGUCUCAAAAAAAUAAAAACAAAAACAAAAAAAUAAUAAC